GGUCGUAUGGUGUAGUUGGUUAUCACGUCAGUCUAACACUGAAGGUCUCCAGAUCGAACCUGGAUAUGAUGA